rnacentral:rRNA from 1 species
UCAGGAUGAACGCUAGCGGCAGGCUAACACAUGCAAGUCGAGGGGCAUCGGGAGUAGCAAUACUUGCCGGCGACCGGCGCAAGGGUGCGUAACGCGUGAGCAACAUGCCCGUAUCAGGGGGAUAAUCCAUGGAAACGUGGUCUAAUACCCCAUAGUAAUUAUGUAAGGCAUCUUAUAUAAUUUAAAGCUUUGGUGGAUACGGAUUGGCUCGCGUGACAUUAGCUGGAUGGUAAGGUAACGGCUUACCAUGGCUACGAUGUCUAGGGGUUCUGAGAGGAAGGUCCCCCACACUGGAACUGAGACACGGUCCAGACUCCUACGGGAGGCAGCAGUGAGGAAUAUUGGACAAUGGAUGGAAAUCUGAUCCAGCCAUGCCGCGUGCAGGAAGACGGCCCUAUGGGUUGUAAACUGCUUUUGUAUGGGAGCAAUAAGGGCUACGUGUAGUCCGGUGAGAGUACCAUACGAAUAAGCACCGGCUAACUCCGUGCCAGCCGCCGC